rnacentral:rRNA from 1 species
GAUGAACGCUGGCGGCGUGCCUAAUACAUGCAAGUCGAGCGAACAGACGAGGAGCUUGCUCCUCUGACGUUAGCGGCGGACGGGUGAGUAACACGUGGAUAACCUACCUAUAAGACUGGGAUAACUUCGGGAAACCGGAGCUAAUACCGGAUAAUAUAUUGAACCGCAUGGUUCAAUAGUGAAAGACGGUUUUGCUGUCACUUAUAGAUGGAUCCGCGCCGCAUUAGCUAGUUGGUAGGGUAACGGCUUACCAAGGCAACGAUGCGUAGCCGACCUGAGAGGGUGAUCGGCCACACUGGAACUGAGACACGGUCCAGACUCCUACGGGAGGCAGCAGUAGGGAAUCUUCCGCAAUGGGCGAAAGCCUGACGGAGCAACGCCGCGUGAGUGAUGAAGGUCUUCGGAUCGUAAAACUCUGUUAUUAGGGAAGAACAAAUGUGUAAGUAACUUUGCACGUCUUGACGGUACCUAAUCAGAAAGCCACGGCUAACUACGUG